UGUUGCCUACGGGAGGCAGCAGUCGGGAAUAUUGCGCAAUGGAGGAAACUCUGACGCAGUGACGCCGCGUAUAGGAAGAAGGUUUUCGGAUUGUAAACUAUUGUCGUUAGGGAAGAUAAAAGACUGUACCUAAGGAGGAAGCCCCGGCUAACUAUGUGCCAGCAGCCGCGGUAAUACAUAGGGGGCAAGCGUUAUCCGGAUUUACUGGGUGUAAAGGGAGCGUAGACGGCAGAGCAAGUCUGAAGUGAAAGCCCGCGGCCCAACUGCGGGACUGCUUUGGACACUGCCCGGCUAGAGUGCUGGAG
rnacentral:rRNA from 1 species